rnacentral:lncRNA from 1 species
CCGCCUCAAACCUCAAGUUGCGACCUCUGGCGACCUUCAUCUUUUAGCAACUAGUGACCUUUGCCAUCGACCUCUGAUUUUUUUCCUAUGCUUUUUCACCUUCCAGUUAUUUGUUUUUUAUGUUCUUUAUUCUUAGAUCUGAGUUUUCGAACUCAGAUAUGUUCUUAAAGCCAUGGAUUUGAGGUUCGUGCUCAAGAUCUGAGCUUCUCUUUCUAAAACCAGCAUAAGAUCUAAGUUCGUUCUCUUUCUUUCCCCUCUUUUUAUCCUUUUCCUAACUUUGCUUUUCUUCUCUUUUGUUCCAUUUUUUUCGUCUCUCUCUCUCUCUCCCUUUUAUUCUCGUCCACCAUUUCCUCUCUCCCUCUCCACCUUUUUUGUCUCUAUUUUCUCCACCCCUUCUUGAUUUUGCCCUCCUGUCUCUCGCGUUCUAUCUCUCGAGUUUCUAUUUGUUCUUCUCCUUUUGCUUUCUUAGCUUUAACGCUCUUCUCUUUUCUAUCAUAAGGAAGUGGUGCUUGGAGUCGGGGACACCUCCACCCCUCGCUUUUCCUUUUCUUCCUUUUUUCUUCAUCUUUCCUCUUCAUUCCUUCCAUCUCCCAUCCUCUUUCCUAUCGUCUCCUUUUUGUCCUUUCCACCUCUCGUCGAUCAUUUUCGGUCACCUUUCUUUCGGCUCUCUUCUCCCCUUAGUAGGUUAAUGGUUAAAAUGGAGUUUUCCCUUCCGAUGAGAAUAGUAUCUUGUCGUGGUCUUCCCUCAAGCUUCGGGGACUUGCCUCGAAGGUCUUGAAGACUUGAUAUCUAGCUACUCAGGUUAACGCCUAAUAGGGGGAUUCACCCUUAGGAGCCCUAGUGAGCCCUGUCGUGAUUUUUCAUAUUCCCUUAUAGUAGCUUGAAAUUCCUAUGAGAAGUUAGAUACAGUUUCUUAGAAGUGUUUUAGAGUUCGCCAUCUCUUUUCCUCGUCCUUUUUUCCCUAUUCACUUCAUGUUAGCUCCUUCGCGUGUUUGUCCCCCAGUCCCCUCUUGCUCUCUCUUCUGCUUUUUUUU